rnacentral:rRNA from 1 species
GACAGAGGAGCCAAGCGUUGUCCGGAUUGACUGGGCGUAAAGCGCACGCAGGUGGUCGCGCAAGUGCCGUGUGAAAGCAGCUCGCUUAACGAGCUGAGGCCAUGGCAGACUGUGCGACUCGAGCCCGUGAGAGGUCCGUGGAAUUGCCGGUGUAGUGGUGAAAUGCGUAGAGAUCGGCAGGAACACCCAAGGGGAAGCCAGCGGACUGGCACGGUGCCGACACUGAGGUGCGAAAGCGUGGGGAGCAAACAGG